rnacentral:tRNA from 1 species
GUCCUAAUAGUAUAAAUAAUUACUCUGGUCUUGUAAACCAAAAAUGAAGAAGCAAUCUUCUUAGGACA